CCAACUUUCAGCAGGUGCCCGCACGGCUGCCUCUUCGCCUUUCUUUGAGCGAAACAUGCUUAGGACCGCCGGCUUAGGUCAGAGGGAAGUAAAAGUUGGGGCUCCGCUUUAGGAGACUCAAAGGGUCCUGGCGAGGUGAACAUUUUCCAACCUCGAUUUGCUGUACUGGAAAUCCAGUCUACACUGAAACAUGAGAGAGUUUCAUUAAUUCAUGGAGAGAUUCUGGGCAUCCUUGAGGACAAGGCAUUCUAUAGCCACGUUCUACUUGUUCCAGAACUUCUCGGUUUACCAUGCCUAGAAUUGUACAACAGGAUUUAACAUUAAUAGUCAACAACAUGAAAGAACUUUCACGAAGCUGUCAGUGCUCUUCUUUACCAAUGAGCAACAAACUUACCCAAAAUAAGAAAAUGGAUUGGAAGUGGACAGGAAAUCUGAUUGGAUUUGGAUCAGUGGAUCGAAAGUAGGUAGAAAAUCGAGUAAACUCAAAAGAAUAACAUUUUAUUGUUUGGUGUAUUUCCAUGUUAUGACCAACUGUGAAGCUGUUUUACAAACAUAUACUGCUGUCAAAGUUAAGCAGGGAUCAACAGAGUGACCUGGGAUUACUAGCUAAGUGAAAAUUUGUUGCUUGAUCCCCUGACCUCCAGGAUUAGGACCUCCUGCUAGGUUUAAAUACAGCAUAAAUGUUCCUCUUUCCAUCUCUACAUCUGGAGCUGGCAAGGGCAAAAUACAAGUUCCUGCCCUUCAGUAGUUCCAAAAAGGAGUGGCCAGAAGAAGGUUGCACCUACUUGGUGAUCCAAGCUCAGAAUGUCCACUGGAUGCCCAGGCAAAGUGUGCCCCUUGGUCUCUUGCUCAGAGCAGGAGAGGAUUCAGAGAUGCUCUGCAACUGUGCUUCAAUAAGCACAGAGGGAAGUCCAUGUCCCUUCAUCUCCAAGGCAAAGGCUAUUUAUGGCUCUUCCCUUUGAGGCUGGGAAUAAGUAAAGAUUAUCUCCUCUUCAGCUCUAGGUUCAGAAGAAGCCUUGGCCUCAUCUCUCACUUGAACCUGACUUUUUUCCUCUGUAUUUACUUGUCAAAUAACUUUAAAAAAUCAGACUCUCUCUCACACACAGACUAUCUCUCCUUGAAUAGCCUGGCUUGCCAAGUCAUAUUUGCUGCGCUCAAGGACAAAGCUCUAAGUCUGAUGGUGGAGGAGGUCUACUGAGUCAGUGCUGUGUUAUGAGGGAGAUUGCAAAAUGAGAAACAUCUGAUGACGUAUUGUUAAUUCUACAGUUAUAGAGACCAAGGUUGUUCUACUUACACAUUCAGAAAAGGCAUACAAUAGACUCCAGAUGUAUUUAAAAUACCUUGUAAAAAACUCCCAAGUACGAAGAAGAAUAGCACAUGAAGAAGGCUAAUCUAUAACAUUCUCCUGAAUGUUCUACGUGGGCAGGGGAGACAUUAAAAAAUUCAUCACACCUGCUAUAAUCUGAGUGACUGUGCCUUUGUUAAUAGGUAGUUUCUUUCAGAUAUGUUAUUUUUGGGUUUGCUAAUGAUGUCCUUCAUUGCACUGCUUUUCAUGGAACCAUGUCCAAUUGUGUUAUAAUGCAUUUGUUGAAAUGGACUUGGAAAUGAAUCUUUAAAUGACUUAUUCUGGAACAAUGUUGGUUUUUUAAAGGUUAAGGUUUUAUCCUUAGGAACACUGAUGGUCGGAUCUUCUAUGUAAAACUUCAGAAGACUGAGUUUCAGAACUGUGUUGGACUUUCUGAUAAUCACAUCCUUAGAUGUGUUACGUAUCACAUUCUAAGUCCCAGAGCAUGCUAAAUAAACCACUUUUACAGAACAAUG